CAAUGUGGUAUGAAAUCAUGCCGGCACGAAGAAGGGAGGGGUCUUUUCAUGGGAAAAAAAAUGACAACCACACACUACAAGGAAGGGGGCUCCUCGGCUCGGGUCGGGCAGGAUCCAACAGUAGUGAUUACCUCAUACCCAGCCACUCCGGGAGACCCCACCCACACCUUCAGCCCCAGGCCUUUCCAAACAAUACCAGGUGCCCCCCACCCCACCCCACCAGCAGAGGUAGGACUCAGGGCCUCAGCUAAGCAGGAUCACACCCAGAGAGGCGGCAGUCCCUGCUCCCUCCGCUGAGUAGGUGGGUUCAGGGAAGGGGGGGGGGGGCAAGGCCCAACAGGUCCCCAGUUGGAGCUAAUGGGAGAGGAAGAAAUGGCAGUGUGGAGAGGUGCGGGAAGACAAAGGCUUCAGGAAGCGGGGGACGGUGGCCCGGACACGCUGGCAGGGAGGUCGGCCCAGAGCCCACUGGGGGCCUGUUCCGCCCCCGCCUGGUGAUGGGCUAAGGGUCUCCCCAGAUCCCACGCCCACACUCCCUGCAGCGGCACCGAAGCUCCGGGGAGGGCUUCCUAGAGAAGGAAGGGACCUGUCACAACCCCGGAGAGGAAGGAGAAGGAUGGACAGACACACUCGAAGGGACAGACAGAGGGAGACACCGAGUGACCCGGGAAAGAGGAAGAGACACAGAGACCACAGCACGCACCUCCGGGGACAUCACACUGCAUAGCUAUGAAUUCUGGUUCAGUGUCUGAUUCCUGCACAGCUCACAGCUGGUACCUAGAACACUGUGGAGACAUGGCGGACGCCCUGUAAAUGAAUGUGGGAGGAAUGUAUUAAGAAUGGACCAGAGGGGUGCCUGGGUGGCUCAGUCGGUUAAGCGUCCGACUUCGGCUCAGGUCAUGAUCUCGCUGUCCGUGAGUUCGAGCCCCGCGUCGGGCUCUGUGCUGACCGCUCGGAGCCUGGAGCCUGUUUCAGAUUCUGUGUCUCCCUCUCUCUCUGACCCUACCCCGUUCAUGCUCUGUCUCUCUCUGUCUCAAAAAUAAAUAAACGUUAAAAAAAAACAAAAU